rnacentral:RNase_P_RNA from 2 species
AGAGUAAGCUAGACAGUCGCUGCCAUUUUAUUAUGGUAGAGGAAAGUCCGGGCUCCAUAGGGUAGAGUGCCAGGUAAUUCCUGGGCAAUGUGAGUUGACGGACAGUGCAACAGAAAAUAAACCGCCUUAUUUAAUUAAGGUAAGGGUGAAAUGGUGUGGUAAGAGCACACCGCGCAUAUCUAGUAAUAGAUGCGGCAUUGUAAACCCCACUCGGAGCAAGAUCAAAUAUAAACCAUUUAUGUUUCCCACAUUUGGUUUCGGGUAGAUUGCUUGAGAUACAUGGUAACAUGUAUCCUAGAUAGAUGACUGUCCAAGACAGAACCCGGCUUAUAAGUUUACUCUAUUU